GAAAAGAAACCAACAGGGAUUGCCCUAGUAACGGCGAGUGAAGCGGCAACAGCUCAAAUUUGAAAUCUGGCGUCUUUGGCGUCCGAGUUGUAAUUUGCAGAGGGCGCUUUGGCAUUGGCAGCGGUCCAAGUUCCUUGGAACAGGACGUCACAGAGGGUGAGAAUCCCGUACGUGGUCGCUAGCCUUUACCGUGUAAAGCCCCUUCGACGAGUCGAGUUGUUUGGGAAUGCAGCUCUAAAUGGGAGGUAAAUUUCUUCUAAAGCUAAAUACUGGCCAGAGACCGAUAGCGCACAAGUAGAGUGAUCGAAAGAUGAAAAGCACUUUGGAAAGAGAGUUAAAAAGCACGUGAAAUUGUUGAAAGGGAAGCGCUUGCAGCCAGACUUGCCUGUAGUUGCUCAUCCGGGUUUCUACCCGGUGCACUCUUCUACGGGCAGGCCAGCAUCAGUUUGGGCGGUUGGAUAAAGGUCUCUGUCAUGUACCUCCUCUCGGGGAGAACUUAUAGGGGAGACGACAUGCAACCAGCCCGGACUGAGGUCCGCGCAUCUGCUAGGAUGCUGGCGUAAUGGCUGUAAGCGGCCCGUCUUGAAACACGGACCAAGGAGUCUAACAUCUAUGCGAGUGUUUGGGUGUCAAGCCCGAGCGCGUAAUGAAAGUGAACGGAGGUGGGAACCUUUCGGGGUGCACCAUCGACCGAUCCUGAUGUCUUCGGAUGGAUUUGAGUAAGAGCAUAGCUGUUGGGACCCGAAAGAUGGUGAACUAUGCUUGAAUAGGGUGAAGCCAGAGGAAACUCUGGUGGAGGCUCGCAGCGGUUCUGACGUGCAAAUCGAUCGUCAAAUUUGGGCAUAGGGGCGAAAGACUAAUCGAACUAUCUAGUAGCUGGUUCCUGCCGA
rnacentral:rRNA from 1 species